rnacentral:rRNA from 1 species
AACGCGAAGAACCUUACCAGUCCUUGACAUGUCCACUAUGGGCCUGAGAGAUCAGGUCCUUCACUUCGGGUGGGUGGAACACAGGUGCUGCAUGGCUGUCGUCAGCUCGUGUCGUGAGAUGUUGGGUUAAGUCCCGCAACGAGCGCAACCCUCAUCUUCAGUUGCCCCCGGGUCAGGCCGGGCACUCUGAAGAAACCGCCGGUGACAAGCCGGAGGAAGGCGGGGAUGACGUCAAGUCCUCAUGGCCCUUACGGACUGGGCUACACACGUACUACAAUGGUGGUGACAGUGGGCAGCGAAAGCGCGAGCUGGAGCUAAUCCCCAAAAGCCAUCUCAGUUCAGAUUGCACUCUGCAACUCGAGUGCAUGAAGUUGGAAUCGCUAGUAAUCGCAGAUCAGCACGCUGCGGUGAAUACGUUCCCGGGCCUUGUA